GAGGUGGAAGCGUAGCGAUACGUGGAGCUGACGAAUACUAAUCGAUCGAAGACUUAAUCAA
rnacentral:rRNA from 3 species